GACGAACGCUGGCGGCGUGCCUAAUACAUGCAAGUCGAACGAGUUGCGCACGGGUGAGUAACGCGUGGUAACCUGCCUCCUAGCGGGGGAUAACUAUUGGAAACGAUAGAUAAUACCCCAUACUUUUGGAUGGACCUGCGUUGUAUUGGCUAGUUGGUGAGGUAAAGGCUAACCACGGCGACGAUACAUAGCCGACCUGAGAGGAUGACCAGCCACACUGGAACUGAGACACGGUCCAGACUCCUACGGGAGGCAGCAGUGGGGAAUAUUGCACAAUGGGCGCAAGCCUGAUGCAGCCAUGCCGCGUGUAUGAAGAAGGCCUUCGGGUUGUAAAGUACUUUCAGCGAGGAGGCGUUACUCGCAGAAGAAGCACCGGCUAACUCCGUGCCAGCAGCCGCGGUAAUUC
rnacentral:rRNA from 1 species